UAUGGCAAAUGUUUACAAUUAUUUCUGUUUGGCAUUCGCACGCUCCCGCGAACGUGUUUUGGCACUCUCUCUCUCUCUUGUUCUGUUUGUGCUCUGUUAUCGGUCAGCUCUUUUUGCAACAAAGCUCUCGCAGGCCUUUCAAAUAGCUAGCUAAUGGAAUGAUUUAGCAGUAUAGCUCUGGCAGUGAAUGAAUUAAGUUCCUAACAAGCUAAAUGUUGAAAGUGCGCAGCGGUCUAUCUAUAAUUCAGGCGCAAAAAGCAGCCCUCUCUGUCAGCAGUCCCGUUGGCAGACCACAGCAGCUGUAGCAGAGCCCAGAAAUGAUGCAGAGUGGCUACAAGCUCGUCCCUUUGAUCAGAUUCCUAGUACAACUUUUCUGUCUACUGUUCGGAAUUUUAUGCCUGGAGGAAAAUAUAGCAAACUGGACAUUGUGAAAUUGUUCAAAGCUUUGCAAGACGACUAUGGAAACAUAUUAUAUUUACCAGGUAUGAUGGGAGGUACGUCAUACCUGAUGACUCACAAUCCCAAGGACUUCGAGGUCGUGUUCCGGAACGAAGGAGUGUGGCCGCAUCGGCCUGGCAGCGAUACUCUUCGCUAUCAUCGGAAGACUCAUAGAAAGGAUUUCUUCCAGGGAGUGGAGGGAGCUUUA